rnacentral:lncRNA from 1 species
AUGCAGGGUCUAAGGGUUAUACUGGCCUAUGAUUUGCCCCCUUGCCCAGGAAUCUCCUUCUUCCUCCAUCAUCCAAUGGACUCAUAUUUGUGUUCAUCUUUCAAACAGUGUCUCAUCAUCGAUCUCCUUCCCUUAGGAAGUCUUCAUUCUUCCAAGGCUCUGCCAGUUACUUCUUUUGUUGUAGAUCAUUUAUCCAAUUCAAUCUUCAGCUUUAUUUUUUUGCUUUUCCUGAAGAUCUCGUGGACGUCUAUGGUUUAA